GGCGAACGCUGGCGGCGUGCCUAAUACAUGCAAGUAGAACGCACAGUUUAUACCGUAGCUUGCUACCCAAAGACUGGUAGUUGCCAACGGGGGAAUAAAGCGGAAGUAACCUUCCCGGUUGCGGGGGGUAACCAUUGGGAACGGUAACUAAUAACGCAUAAUUAUGAUUAUUGCAAGUUAAUUUCUUUAAAAGUUCAAUUUGAUCAUCACCAGACGGAUCCGCGUUUUAUUAGCUAAUAGGGGAGGUAACGGCCCACCUAGGCGCCGGUACAUUACCGACCUGAGAGGGUGAUCGGCCACACUGGGACUGGGACACGGCCCAGACUCCUACGGGAGGCAGCAGUAGGGAAUCUUCGGCAAUGGACGGAAGUCUGACCGAGCAACGCCGCGUGAGUGAAGAAGGUUUUCGGGUCGUAAAGCUCUGUUGUAAGAGAAGAACGGGUGUGAGAGUGGAAAGUUCACACUGUGACGGUAUCUUACCAGAAAGGAACGGCUAACUACGUG
rnacentral:rRNA from 1 species